UCGCCUGUUUAUCAAAAACAUAGUUUUAUGAUUAUAUAUAAAAUAUUUUCUGCCCAGUGUCAGUAGAUAAAUGGCCGCAGUACCUUGACUGUGCUAAGGUAGCAUAAUCAAUUGGCUUUUAAUUGAAGUCUAGAAUGAAUGGGAUAAUGGAAUUUAGCUGUCUCGAUUUUUUUAAUAAAAAUUUAUUUAUAAGGUGAAAAUACCUUAAAUUAUAAUAAAGACGAGAAGACCCUAUGAAUUUUUAAAUUUUUUUUGUUGGGGCGACAGUUUAAAAAUAAAUCUUAAAUUUUAAAUAUAUAACGAUUUUUUUAAUAAAAAUUAAAUUACCUUAGGGAUAACAGCAUUAUUAUUCAAAUAGUUUGUGACCUCGAUGUUGGACUAGGAACUAAAAGGCUAACCGUCUUUAUAGAUUUGUUCUGUUCGAACAAUUUUAUCCUACGUGAUCUGAGUUCAGACCGGA
rnacentral:rRNA from 1 species